rnacentral:rRNA from 1 species
UGGUGGGUUGCCUUGUCAGGUUGAUUCCGGUAACGAACGAGACCUCAGCCUGCUAAAUAGCCACGCGCACCUUCGUGGUGCGUGCCUUUGGCUUCUUAGAGGGACUAUUGGCGUUACAGCCAAUGGAAGUGUGAGGCAAUAACA